UUUUCUUCAUUUAUAAGGCCUCCUUUUUGGGUGCAGGUGGGCCUUGCGCCCUUUUCCCUCGCAGGUCCUGGACAUACGAGGAGUUCCUGGGAUGAGAGGGACUGUGCCUCGGAACUUCUCUUGGCUCCCCGAGGACUGUUUUACAGGCAGCAAGCGCUCAAUAAUGGUAUCGGUGGCAGUAAAAGAGCCCACGGCUUUAUUUUAUUAACUAUUUCAGCUUCUCCCCUCUUCCUCCUCCUCCUUCUCCUCCACCUCCGCCCAUGAAAUGGUGCACUCUCCCUUUAAGACUAAGAUGGUGGCUUGCUACGAUCGGGACUCCACUUCCGGUGGGGAGGGGGGCGGGACCCCAGCCCGCUCACGCCGGAAGUGGUUUGCGUUUUCAAGAUGGCGACUCCCUAUGUUACUGACGAGACCGGCGGGGUGGGAACUGCCAAUCCUCUCCCUUCUUUUUGACUUCACCCUUGGAUACCAUCAAGGCCAGAGGAUGGAACCAAGAUAACAUAAAAUAGGCAAGUAUAUCGCCUCAACACAGCGACCUGACGGGACCUGGCGCAAGCAGCGGAGGGUGAAAGAAGGAUAUGUGCCCCAGGAGGAGGUCCCAGUAUAUGAAAACAAGUAUGUGAAGUUUUUCAAGAGUAAACCAGAAUUGCCCCCAGGGUUAAGCCCUGAGGCCACUGCUCCUGUCACCCCAUCCAGGCCUGAAGGUGGUGAACCAGGCCUCUCCAAGACAGCCAAACGCAACCUGAAGCGAAAGGAGAAGAGGCGGCAGCAGCAAGAGAAAGGAGAGGCAGAGGCCUUGAGCAGGACUCUUGAUAAGGUGUCCCUGGAAGAGACAGCCCAACCCCCCAAUGCUCCACAGGGCUCCCGGGCAGCCCCCACAGCUGCAUCUGACCAGCCUGACUCAGCUGCCACCACUGAGAAAGCCAAGAAGAUAAAGAACCUAAAGAAGAAGCUCCGGCAGGUGGAAGAGCUGCAGCAGCGGAUCCAGGCUGGGGAAGUCAGCCAGCCCAGCAAAGAGCAGCUGGAAAAGCUAGCAAGGAGAAGGGCGCUAGAAGAGGAGUUAGAGGACUUGGAGUUAGGCCUCUGAGGCCUUUGGGGAAUUGGGAAUGGACUGCAGAACAAACCAUGGGGCUCUCUGGGGUCCGGGGGAAUAUGGGCAACAGCAGUCAGGAGGGGUUCCCCUAUACUGGCUUACUUCCACCUCUUGCGGCCCAGCUCUGUCCUCCAGAGCCUAGCAUUUCCCUCAAUCCUUCCCUUUUCUUCCCAACUUCUACUUUUUGGACUUUCCCCCUCCCAUUCCCAGUGUUCAAAAUCUCAGUGACUGCCCCAGGUACCUUUGCUGCUGAUUUGGGUGUCUUGUUUUAAAAGAAAAUCAGGUGGGUGGGAAUCUCGUGGAGAACUGGGGCUGAGGGUAGAGGGAGUAUGCCCAAGUCUUGGAGUCUUGGUUCCUGUUCGCGGUGUUUAUGGGUUAUUUCCCUCUCCAUCCCUCAUCUUUUUUUUUUUUUUUUUUUUUUUUUUUUUUUAAAAAAAAGCAAAAAUGAGAAUAAACACAAGUAGACCUGUC